GAUGAAGAACGUAGUAAAAUGCGAUAAGUAAUGUGAAUUGCAGAAUUCAGUGAAUCAUCGAAUCUUUGAACGCACAUUGCGCCCGCCAGUAUUCUGGCGGGCAUGCCUGUUCGAGCGUCAUUUCAACCAUCAAGCCCCCGGCUUGUGUUGGGGACCUGCGGCUGCCGCAGGCCCUGAAAACCAGUGGCGGGCUCGCUAGUCACUCCGAGCGUAGUAAUACAUCUCGCUCAGGGCGUGCUGCGGGUUCCGGCCGUUAAAAAGCCUUAUUUACCCAAGGUUGACCUCGGAUCAGGUAGGAAGACCCGCUGAACUUAAGCAUAUCAAUAAGCGGAGGA
rnacentral:misc_RNA from 1 species